UAAAGAAUGGUGAUUUAUUAAACAACUCAUGUAUUGAAAUAAUAAAAAUGUACGUAUUAUAUUACAAAUUGUAAUCACAAAAUGCAAUAAAAUUAACGCUCAAUUUCAGUCACAGCAAAAAGAAUCAUUUACGCGCGAACCUUUAUUUCAUUUCCAUGAAUUGAUUUCCGAAAUAAUAUUAAUUUUAUUUUGUACCUACUUCAGUCUUAGGUACCAAAAACAUGUACACAAUAAAUCUACAAGGGAUUAUGUUACAUAGAACAAAACUCAUAAUAACUUUUUAAUUCGAAAGCUUAAACGACAUGUAUAGAACGAUUUUGAUAGCAUUCUUCGCGUUUAGUACGACACACGCUGAGAAAGACCCAUUGAUAUUCAUUGCCAACCCUGUCGAAGCCGAUAUGCCAGGACACUGGAUGCCAUUAAGUGUAGUGAAACUAAUAUUAGAAGGAACAACCAGACGUCCAACACAGAGGCUAUCACGGAAGUUACCUACGACGACUAUUGAGAUAACAACACCUACAACGGAGGCAACAACAACGACAACCACGGUAAAAACAACAGAAGAAAGACCGCCACCGACAACGACGAUGACAACAACGACUACUACAACGGAGCCACCGCCUGCCGUUCCGGAACCAACAACAGCAGCCGUGACUACUACGCCAA